rnacentral:sRNA from 1 species
AACAAUCCGAUUCCCACAGUCCAAAAGUUCCUACGUAACUUGGACCGAGAAAAGGAAGAAAGGGAUAGGCAAAUUGAUAAAGCAACCAAGCUCAAACAGGAAGAUGAGCGGAAUAGGCCGAUUCAAAGGGGCGAACAGGAUGAAGACACGGAAGUGACAUCCCAUAUCCCCUUGCAGCCAAGGAAACGUGGGCGCAAAGUAACAGACCCGACAACAGGCAGAGAAGUAGAGAUCGACGAUGUUGGAGAUGAGUUUAUGGGCACAGUUAAAGAGCCCCAGCUCUCUGUACCCAAUGCAAAUCUCGAGAAACCGACGCCCAUGAAAACAGAACCAACUCAAGAUUUGCGAGAGUACAAACGUGUUCAAGAUCUUGUCUCACCACCAGAUCCUAUUGCCGAAGGCACUACAUCUGAUGUGCCAAUACAUGGAGAGAAAACUAAUAUUUUGUUUCACCCCACUCCAUCUAUCAGCUAUGAACCAAUGUACAAGGCAUUAGAAAGACGUGCGACAGUGCUUUCUCUAUGUAUAUUUUGCGGUAUCGUGAUUCCGGGG